AGAAAAGCAGAGCUCAUCUCCGGUUACUCUCCAUCUGCCGCAAGUGAAGACCUCAGUGCGGACACGCUCUCAGGCCUGCAUACAUGCAUUCCUGCGCUGAGAUGAAUGGCGGCCAUUGAUGCGUCUCCCUUUUGAGGCCCGCUGCCAGAGCGAGCGUUGUGCCGAGCAGUUUGGUCGAGUCGUCUCUACCCGUGUUACCCGUGUCUUAUCCGUCGUGCUUGGGUGACCCGUCUCUCCCCGCCAUGACGCGAGGUCGGGACGCCAAGACAGACUGCGAGAACAUAAG